rnacentral:rRNA from 1 species
GAUGAACGCUGGCGGCGUGCCUAAUACAUGCAAGUCGAGCGAACAGACGAGAAGCUUGCUUCUCUGAUGUUAGCGGCGGACGGGUGAGUAACACGUGGAUAACCUACCUAUAAGACUGGGAUAACUUCGGGAAACCGGAGCUAAUACCGGAUAAUAUUUUGAACCGCAUGGUUCAAAAGUGAAAGACGGUCCUGCUGUCACUUAUAGAUGGAUCCGCGCUGCAUUAGCUAGUUGGUAAGGUAACGGCUUACCAAGGCAACGAUGCAUAGCCGACCUGAGAGGGUGAUCGGCCACACUGGAACUGAGACACGGUCCAGACUCCUACGGGAGGCAGCAGUAGGGAAUCUUCCGCAAUGGGCGAAAGCCUGACGGAGCAACGCCGCGUGAGUGAUGAAGGUCUUCGGAUCGUAAAACUCUGUUAUUAGGGAAGAACAUAUGUGUAAGUAACUGUGCACAUCUUGACGGUACCUAAUCAGAAAGCCACGGCUAACUACGUG